rnacentral:rRNA from 1 species
UACGUGGGAGGGCAAGCGUUGUCCGGAUUUAUUGGGCGUAAAGAGCGUGUAGGCGGUUCGGUAGGUCCGUUGUGAAAACUCGAGCUCAACCUCGAGACGCCGAUGGAAACCCUCGAACUAGAGUCCGGAAGAGGAGAGUGGAAUUCCUGGUGUAGCGGUGAAAUGCGCAGAUAUCAGGAAGAACACCCGUGGCUAAGGCGGCUCUCUAGUACGGUACUGACGCUGAGACGCGAAAGCGUGGGGAGCGAACAGG